GAAUUUUGGACAAUGGGCGAAAGCCUGAUCCAGCAAUGCCGCGUGCAGGAUGAAGGCCUUCGGGUUGUAAACUGCUUUUGUACGGCAAGAAACGCUUUGGGUUCCUCCCCUGGAGUCAUGACCGUACCGUAAGACUAAGCACCCGCUAACUACGUCCCAGCAGCCGCGGUAAUACGUAGGGGGCAAGCGUUUAUCGGAAUUACUGGGGGUAAAGCGUGGGGAGGAGGUUUUGGAAUACAAAGGUGAAAUCCCCGGGCGCAACCUGGGAACUGCCUUUGUGACUGCAAGGCUAGAGUACGGCAGAGGGGGGUGGAAUUCCGCGUGUAGCAGUGAAAUGCGUAGAUAUGCGGAGGAACACCGAUGGCGAAGGCAACCCCCUGGGCCUGUACUGACGCUCAUGCACGAAAGCGUGGGGAGCAAACA
rnacentral:rRNA from 1 species